CAAGACUUUGGUGUUAACUCACAUUAAAGCUCUCCAUGGCAAUGGUGUGAAUGCACGUAACGUCAAGUAGAAGCAGAGAGCUCAUGGGAUCAGAGAGGAUUAUAGUGGUCAGGGGAAGCAGGACAAGGAGGGCAGCUUUCAUUCAUUCCAGCCCCAAAUAUCUCUGCGGUUCUACCUUGCUCUGCAAAAGUCUCCCAGGUUCACUUGUUCCUCUGAGACUUCUUUCAUCCUGCUUAGCAAGCUCACAGCUGCAGCUGCUGAAAGGUCUGAGCUGCAUUAAAGCCUGCAGCUGGAGAGCAGAUCUCCUACAACUGGGAGUAUAAGGGGGAAGCCCAGGCUGAAGGAACCAGACCUGGCUGGGGUGAUCCCACAAGGGGCUGCAGUCCCAGCUCCUGCUAUGCUGAGACCCAAGAGAAGGGGAUCCCAGCUGCUUGUGGGUGGCAGGCUGAGAACCAGAACCACCUUCGCACGCUGUAUAUGAGAAGAUCUGCAUCAGCCUGUGAAUACUGUGAUUUGGGAAGAGACCAGGAAAGUAAAGAGUCAAGAUGAAUCCUCUUUUCCGAAGCUCACCUGAAAUUAAAUCACUUCCUGCAAUGGAGAAGUUCAGCUCCGGAAGGCCUUUAAAGGAUGGGAUGUAACAUGGAGCCGAGCAGUUGGCAAACACUGAUUUUAAGUGCAUUUGUACUUUGCUGACUGAUCCCGGAAUGGUCAAAGGUGAUUCACUGUUUGCACUGUGUGAAGAAGGCUUCGGUCUUUGGUUCGGCUCGGAGCAGUCAAGUAGCAACAGGUGUGCUGACUGCAGGACGCAGUUGCCAUGCUCGCAAACAUAUCCACUGCACCUUAAUGGACAUGGUCUUAUGUGCAACCAGCCUCCGGCCAGGUAUGAGGCAGCCAGGUUCACAUCCACGCAUCCAAGCAACACGAUGUUAAACUGCAGCACUCAGCCAGGUGAUGUCCAUGGAGCUCUGCAAAGUGCAGUGCAUCCCAUAAACUUCUGGAUAUCAUGGGAUCUAACGGCACUCCCAGUUAGAUAUCCUUGGGCCUUUGCUGAUUUUUAAAGGUUUUUAUUUGGAAAGGACUUUCUGAACCACCAAGUCUCCUGUUACUGCAAGCAGCAAGAUGUUCAGCACCUCUGUCAGACUUUGGUCUCAGCGUAUCUUUUGAAAAGAAGGUGGUACCAUUUGAUACCAUGGGGUAUCAAAUGACCAGAACCUCCUAGCUGCUAUCCUACAUCCAUCUGUAGGUGGUUGGUAACCUAUUUUCCCCUUUGAAAGAUGUUUCAAGGACUUUUUUUUUUUUUUUUGUCUUUACUUGAGCCAUUUGAUUCCCCUUUGUGAUGUACAUAUCUUAGAUGUCACCUCCUGUAAGAAACAGAAUAGCCCAGAAAAUGAAGUAGUAAGUCACGAUGGAAUCAAAGCUAAUGUCACUUGCAAAACAGCAGGCAGGGGGUUGAUGGGAAAUCUGGGAUCCACGGGGAGAGAACUUCAUCCUGCUUUUUGCAGCUGGAAAGAGGCUGUUCUGGAAUCCUGGGCUGAGAUGAGAUCUGUCUGGGGCUCAGGCUGGCACUGUCCAAGCCCAUCCAUUGUGGGCUAGUGGCUGUCUCCUCUACACACCUUCAUCUGAUCAGAUCUCCCCCUCCCUGAUUGCUGCCCCUCCAUCUCUGCCUUGCAGACAAAUGUGACGCACAGCCAUUGCCCCCCCUUCAUCACACCAAGCACCCUCUGCUCUUGAAUUCCUUUUUCUGUGAGCAGCAUUUGGGGAUGCAGAUUGACUGAAAGCUGUGAUACCAGAAAUAGAUUCCGAAUGACCCACCAGGAGCCUAGUACCCACUGAAGGAUUGGAAACACUUUUCUCACUCUUUUUCAAGGAAAAAGAAGCCACCUGCUUUUGUACACUCGCAGCAAGCGCUGUCUGAUAGGGCUAUCCUCAGCAACCUGCCUUGGUGCAAAGCUUCUGAUCUAUCUGUCUUCAAAGCUGUUAGACCCAUGAUGUGUCCAUCUCUAACUGCUGAUGGUGUGCAUCUCCCUUACCAUCUUGGGUGUCAUCUCUUCUCCACCAUGUCACUGGAAGGGGCUAUAGUCUUCCAAGACUCUGUUGUUUUAGUGGAAGUAAUAUUCCUCAUCUUUUCCAGACUGCACCUGCCUUGUGUUAUCUAUUCUACAUACAUGCUGCUCUCUAAUAACUGCAGUGCAAGCCCAGUAGUAGAGAGCUGUAGGUAAGAUAUCAGGUGCAAAGGGCAACAAAACUGUGUAUUUGGGAUUUUAUGUUUAUACCUACAGCAUCUUCUAAAGGAACCUCAGCUGUGCAGCUGGGACCCAUAAGACCUGCCAGGAAAGAAAAAGCAAUUGGCAGAGCCCACUGCACCAUCCAGAUGAUCCCAUUUUCCUGGGCUCUAAUACAUGCCCCCUCUCCAGAAGUUCAAGGGUACUGAGAUCAGAUGUUUUGCCUGACCUCAUUAUACAUAGAGGGACCAUCUGCCAAAGCUCAGAUCUGGCUCAAGCUUCUUCCAAGUCCAAGUCUGGGAUUUUGACUUGAACCUCUGCCUAACUUAUUCAACCUCUGCCAGGACACAAUGAAAGCGUGGUGCAAGAUACCAAGAAUUCUUUCGUUAGUAGAAGUGCUGGACCAGAUUUUCAGCAAAGCUCAGAUCCUACUCUGAACUCCAAUUUCUGGACUGCCUUCAGAUGUGGCCAACAUCUUACAGCUCUCCUGCAAAGCCCAGCCUCUCCUUUCUUGCCUAUUUCAUACCCAUCUGCUAUGCUAUGGAACCCAUCCAAAAGCCUAUUAAUAGAGAAUAUAAACCUGACACGCAGUGCCUGGAAGACUCUGUUGUGGAGAGCACUGGAUGGUUUUCUCAACAGGCCAACUCAUGCUUCAUGAAAACAUUCACAGAUGCUUGCAGUGUUGAGGUUUAUGUCAGUUAUGGCCAUCAAAAGUCAUUUCUUCAUGAGAAAGAGGAACAGAUGGAAAAAGAGAGACCAGGAUGUGCUAGAGAUGACUCUCCAAUGCCUGUGGUACAUCAGGGGAAGGGCACUGCACAGCCAGCAGAGCUAUCCUUCCCCAAGGCAUAGCUGACAUAUCCCCUUGCCUGGGAGACCUGGCAAGUGAAUCUGACAUCAUUUCAUAGCUACCUGCAUGCCUUUCCUUUUUAAUUCACAGGCAUGGGAGUUCAUGUGGAAACUCCAAAGCUGUACUGGAACAAUGUGGGAACAUACAUAUAUAAGCCACAAUUCAGAAUCUAGUUCCACAUCUGCCCAUCUCAGGCUCUCUGCUGGAAAAGAAGCAUUUGGGGCAGAAGCUAUGUGAGAAUAAUGAAAGGAACAGACUUAUACUUUGACUCACUGAAAAAAUUGAGUUUCCUUAACAAACAGUGGAAUAGCAAUAAACUUCCCAGUAGGUAAAAGCAAACCCAUGCUGGUUACUGCUGUAUAUUCACAGCUGGCCUCACCUACCCUAUCUUGCCUGUGGGCAUGAGAUCAGUUCGUUCCACGAGUCACCCAGCUCUUGGUGCCAAAAAACUAAAGUUCCUGCCCAUCACAUCCAAGGCAGACAUUUCAAAGUUAAACACCUAGUCUGUUUUCAAUUUUUCCUUCAAAUACCAGAAGAGAUUGCACCACAUUAUGGGCUAAUCGCCUGUCAAAUUUAAUUUCUUAAGCUGAGGCUGCUUUAGAGCCAAGUGAAUGAAAAGGAAAAAAUAUCCUGUCCAAAUCCACUAAAUUAUUAUUUUUUAUGCCUGCGUAGUUACCUAGAAAUAGGAGCUCUUUCUUAACCUUCUUGUUUAACUUUAUGGCAAAUAUGUUACUGACAGAGUAGGGCAUUACAUGCAAAAUUUGAUCUUCCAAUAGGUCUUCAUGUCUAAAUUGUGAUGAACUAAAUUUCAUGAAAGUAGUUCUAGGUCCAGCUAGGAGCAAAGUCCUCCUCUGUAAUUAUUGCUGAAGAUCAAACACAGACCUUCG
ensembl:lncRNA